ACUUACCAGGUCAAGACAUGGGCGUGAUUGACAGGCUAAUGACUUUUCUCGAUUCCAUGGAUGGUGGUGCAUGGUCGCACUUAGUUGGUGCAGUGAUUUGUCAGGUUUAUUCCGGUAACGAACGAGACCUCGGCCUUGUAAAUAGCUAUGCUGCUUACAGGGACAUUGGCGGCUACGCCAAGGAAGCUCGAGGCAAUUGCAGAUCUGGAAUGCCCUUAGAUGUCCUGGGUCGCACGCGUGCUACAAUGACGCCACGAACGAGCUUGCGUGAUGAAAGUUACGCAUAAUCAGCAGUCGGCGUCUUAAGGGAUAGUCUCUUGUAACUGUGGGACUCCAACUAGGAAUGUCUCGUAAGCACAAGUCGACAUCUUGUGUUGAUUACGUCCCUGCUCUUUGUACACACCGCCCGUCGCUCCUACCGAUCGAGUGUUUAGGUGAAUUUGAUGGACGUAAGGAAGUCAAAUAAACCUGAGCACUAGAGAAGAGAAGUCUAGAAUGCC
rnacentral:rRNA from 1 species